rnacentral:rRNA from 1 species
CGAACGUUAGCGGCGGGCCUAACACAUGCAAGUCGAACGAGAAAAUCCCUUCGGGGGUGAGUACAGUGGCGCACGGGUGAGGAACGCGUAGGUAAUCUACCCUUUGGCGGGGGACAACAUUCCGAAAGGAAUGCUAAUACCGCGUAAGCCCACGUUCACUACGGUGAGAGUGGUAAAAGGUGCCUCAAAGCACCACCAAAGGAUGAGCCUGCGUCCCAUCAGCUUGUUGGUAAGGUAAUGGCUUACCAAGGCUAAGACGGGUAGCUGGUCUGAGAGGAUGAUCAGCCACACUGGCACUGGAACACGGGCCAGACUCCUACGGGAGGCAGCAGUGAGGAAUAUUGGGCAAUGGGCGAAAGCCUGACCCAGCCACGCCGCGUGUGGGAUGAAGGCCUUCGGGUCGUAAAGCACUGUGGGGAGAGACGAAACAGCGCAUCAGGAAAUGGAUGCGCCUUGACGGUACCUCCUUAGCAAGCACCGGCUAACUCU